UCGAGAAUCUUCCGCAAUGGGCGAAAGCCUGACGGAGCGACGCCGCGUGCGGGAUGAAGGCCUUCGGGUUGUAAACCGCUGUCGAAGGGGAGCAAAUUUGAGCGAUCCUUGGAGGAAGCACGGGCUAAAUUCGUGCCAGCAGCCGCGGUAAUACGAAUUGUGCGAACGUUAUUCGGAAUCACUGGGCUUAAAGGGUGCGUAGGCGGUCAUGUAGGUCUGAUGUGAAAUCCCACGGCUCAACCGUGGAACUGCGUUGGAAACCCCAUGGCUGGAGUAGGACAGAGGUGAGCGGAACAGAUGGUGGAGCGGUGAAAUGCGUUGAUAUCAUCUGGAACACCGGUGGCGAAAGCGGCUCACUGGGUCCUAACUGACGCUGAUGCACGAAAGCCAGGGGAGCAAACGGGAUUAGAUACCCAAGUAGUCCCUGAGCGGGCUGGCAAGGCGCAU
rnacentral:rRNA from 1 species